rnacentral:lncRNA from 1 species
CGCCAAUAUUUUGAUAUUUUGCAGACUCUUGUAAAAUAAUUUUAUGGGAUCAAAUACUUCUUUUUUCAAAAAAAAAAUGAUCACUUUGAUUUCAUUAUAAAAUUAAGUUAUUUGUGAAAUUUAUAAAAUUUGAACUAUUGAUAGUUCACAGUUACGAUCUAACUCAUUUUUUCUGGGGAUGAAAAUGGUAUGGAUAUUAUUUGUAUCUAUUUUCGUAUUUGAAU